rnacentral:tRNA from 1 species
ACGCACGUAGCUCAGUUGGUUAGAGCGUUAGGUUGUGGUCCUAAAGGUCGUGGGUUCGAGACCCAUCGUGCGUCCCA